rnacentral:rRNA from 1 species
CGGUCAUAAACCGGAGGAAGUGGGAUGACGUCAAGUCAGCAUGGCCUUUAUAUCCUGGGCUACACACACGCUACAAUGGGAAGGGACAAUAGGUUGCGAAGCCGCGAGGCGGAGCCAAUCCAGCAAAACUUCCCUCAGUUCAGAUUGCAGGCUGCAACCCGCCUGCAUGAAGUUGGAGUUGCUAGUAAACGCAGGUCAGCCAUACUGCGUUGAAUACGUUCCCGGGGCUU